UCUGAUGAUGAAGAUGAUGCUGAUGAGCAAGAUGAGGAUAAACGUUGUGGUAUUGAGGGAAACAUCGAACAGAGCAAAGUGUCCAGGGAGAAUGACUGUUCAGAGCAGCAUGAUUUGGUAGUUAACACCAGUGUGGAAAAGAAGCUUGUGAAGGAAGAAGAAACAAAUUGUCCUAUAGAAUUUGAGGACUCUGAAUCUCAGGUUUUUGAGUUUGAAAGUUCAUCUGAAGUCUUUUCAGUUUGGCAAGAUCAUAAAAUAGACAGCAAAAGUUCCCUUCAAGAGGAUCAAAAGAGCUGUAUAGCUCAUGUAGCUGAUAGUACAAACAAUAACUUAGGUUGUGGUGCAGAUUCUGUGUCUGAAGAGGUUGUU
rnacentral:lncRNA from 1 species